rnacentral:lncRNA from 1 species
UUUGCAAGAGCACAUAUUCCAAGUGUUGUUUUUAUUUUUAUGCGUGUGUGUAAUAUUGGGAUAGAACCCAGGGAACUGAGCUAUAUCCUUUCUAUCCCUUACAGGGUCUUGCUGAAUUGCCCAGGCUGGGCUUGAUCUCAUGAUCCUCCGGCCCGUGACCUACCAAGGUCCCCAGUCGUGCAGAAGAUGCCGAAUCACCCCGCUGCAGAAGAGUGGCCACCUGGUUCCACACUACAAAGAUGCAGAGGGCACCAGACCACCCGACCAAGCACCCAGACCAGAAGUGUGAACUCAACAGUGACAAUGACUCCCAGAAUUGCAUCUUUAAUCUGGUAAUUCUCCAAGACUCCAGAGCUCCCUGUCCAACUGCUUCUCAACCCAGGACCUGCUCCUUCUACUUUAUUCUCUUCUGAGGUCAUUUAGCAGAACAUUCAGAGUCAUAAACCAUGGUCUUUUUAUCAUUAAUUUUACCCUAUGUCCAGUUUCUCUCCUUAAAAUUUUUUUUAUUAGUACAUGUUUGUAGUACAUAACAAUCACAUUCCUUUUGGGGAGUUGGCACACAUAGAUAACACAUCUUAACUCUUUUUACAUUCCCUUCCCUCCCUCACCCCUCCCUUCAUCUAUUGAUCCCUUCCUCAUUUGCAAAAGGUAUAUCUCCCUAUUUUAUUUUGCUCUUUAUUUAUAUUUUGGGUUUCUCAUGUAAGAGAAACCAUGUAAUAUUUAAGCUUGUUUGUCUGAUUUACUUCACUUAAAAUUAUAGUCUCAAGUUGCAUCCAUUUUCCUAAAUGACUCAACUUUAUCCUUCAUUAUGGCAGAGUGGUACUCCAUUGUGUACAAAUACCACAUUUUCUUUAUCCAUUCAUUUAUUAGUGAACAUAUAGGCUGUUUCCAAGAUUUAACUAUUGUAUUGUGCUGCUAUAAACAUGGGUAAACAUGUCUCACUGUAAUAUCAUAUCUUUAACUCUUUCAGGAAGAUAUUUAGAAGGAAUAGUUGGGUCAAGUGGAAUUUCUAUUUUUAGAUUUUGAGGAAUCCAUAUUGAUUUCCAUAGUGGUUGUACUAGUUUACACCGCCCCAAAUGUAGAAGGGUUCCUUUUCC